rnacentral:rRNA from 1 species
AUUGAACGCUGGCGGCAGGCCUAACACAUGCAAGUCGAGCGGAGCGGCGGACGGGGGAGUAAUACCUAGGAAUCUGCCUGGUAGUGGGGGAUAACGUUCGGAAACGGACGCUAAUACCGCAUACUCUAAGAUGAGCCUAGGUGGGAUUAGCUAGUUGGUGAGGUAAUGGCAAACCAAGGCUACGAUCCGUAACUGAUCUGAGAGGAUGAUCAGUCACACUGGAGCUGAGACACGGUCCAGACUCCUACGGGAGGCGACGGUGGGGAAUAUUGGACAAUGGGCGAAAUUCUAGUCCAACCAAGCCGCGUGUGUGAAGAAGGUCUUCGGAUUGUAAAGCACUUUAAGUUGGGAGGCGUUACCGACAGAAUAAGCACCGGCUAACUCUGUGCCAGCAGCCGCGGUAAUAC